rnacentral:rRNA from 1 species
AUUGAACGCUGGCGGCAGGCUUAACACAUGCAAGUCGAGCGGGGUGAUGGUGCUUGCACUAUCACUUAGCGGCGGACGGGUGAGUAAUGCUUAGGAAUCUGCCUAUUAGUGGGGGACAACAUCUCGAAAGGGGUGCUAAUACCGCAUACGUCCUACGGGAGAAAGCAGGGGAUCACUUGUGACCUUGCGCUAAUAGAUGAGCCUAAGUCGGAUUAGCUAGUUGGUGGGGUAAAGGCCUACCAAGACGACGAUCUGUAGCGGGUCUGAGAGGAUGAUCCGCCACACUGGGACUGGGACACGGCCCAGACUCCUACGGGAGGCAGCAGUGGGGAAUAUUGGACAAUGGGGGGAACCCUGAUCCAGCCAUGCCGCGUGUGUGAAGAAGGCCUUAUGGUUGUAAAGCACUUUAAGCGAGGAGGAGGCUCUUUUGGUUAAUACCCAAGAUGAGUGGACGUUACUCGCAGAAUAAGCACCGGCUAACUCUGUGCCAGCCGCCGCCGUAACAC